UUUCCAAAAAUGUAAGCAGCAAUCUAAUUGGUUGCUAUGGGCAACUGCACCACUCUCCCUCUACAAGGCAAUGGUUACAUGAACCUGACAAGCCACAACCGCGACGGGUCACGUGGCCCUAAUGAGCUCUUUGGUGACUUGAUAAGUCCCGUCAGGAACAGAGAGCAUGCUGGGAGUUGUAGUUUAGCAACAGCUGGAGGCACGCCGGUUGAAAAACACUGCAGUCCAGGCCUCACCUCCCGGUCCUUGAGCCCGAGCAGCAGCACCUCCUCCAUGAGGAGCUGGGCCGGGGCUUGUUGUUUGCAAAAAUAUCACAUUCAGGGUGAAUUAAAGAAGAAAGUGCUGAAGAUGGGUAUAUUAAUGCUAUCCGACAGGACCGUCAGAUACGUCUCUGAGAACUCAAAGGCAAGUGGGUACUGAUGGACCAGCUGCCAAACACAGUCCAAGAAGAGCAAGAAGACGGGAGCCUGUAGAGAAGAAAAUGCAAGAAGAUGUUGUACACAUGGUAAAGUGCACAGGAAAUCGUACCCUAUAUGUUCUCUAAGCAGAUCGUUCCAUCUGGACAUCGUUCUGAGCAUAAAACAUUUACUAAGCAAAAACAUGUACUGCUUCCACUUGCUAUAGAGCCACUUCAAUACACCAAUACUAUAGCAAAGAGUUGGUGAUCACUUUGCAAUCUUAAGCCCUGCAGGGUACGGAUAUUAAACAUGCAUAUGAUUAAAGUGUCCCUGUCAUUUAAAAAAAAUAAUAAUAAAAAAAUAAUAAUAUAUUUAUAAUAUAUAUAUAAAAAAUGGAAACGCAAGGAAAAGCACCGUGCUUAGGAUUCCUGUUCCGUGUGGGUGCUCAGCUCCGGGAAUAGACCAGAACCCAAAUAAUAAGAAAAUAGUUAGAAGCAGCACUCCAAACUGUGGUAAAAUUCAAGGCGUUUGUUCACACAUCUGUGCAAAGCGACGUUUCGGCUCAACAAGAGAGCCUUUCUCAAGCAUAAUAAACCAUAAACCAUAAUAAACCAUAAACCAUAUAUAUAUAUCAGCCCCCUAAUCACACAUGUAAAUGAGGGGGGAGGGUGUCAUUCACAAAAACAUCAACCGUGUACAAAAUACUCAAGAGACCCCCAAGUAAUGAAUAACACCUCUUCUAUCAUCAAGGUUAUGUAAGACUUCCUCCUUCUGAUUUUUUGGGAUUAUUGCAGAAUGAGGGCAAUGUAAUAUCCUGAGACCUGUGAAAAUUAGUGACCACUUUUAUAAGAAAAACUGGAUUAAGUUUGAAGAUAAUCCUAUCAUCCAGGAUGAUACAAUAUGGUUCUUCAAUAGAUAGAGCCCGGAUUUCUCCAACCCUUCUUGCUGAGGUGAUGGCAACUAACAGCGCAGUUUUGCAGGUCAAUAAUUUAACAGAGGUCUCAGACAGAGGCUCAAAGGGAUGUUUGGUUAAGGCAGAAAAUAACUAAAUUUAAAUCCCAUGGGAGGAGUCAAAUUAGAUAUUUUAGGUUUUAAUCUAGAAAUGGCAGAAAAAAAUAUUUUUAUCCAUUUAUGUUCAGCUAGAGAGGUAUCAAAGUAGCGCCCCAAAGCUGCCGUCUAAACUUUUAAAAGUACUGAUAAAAAGACCUUUUUCAAACCCUUCUUGGAGAAAGUCUAGUAUCUUAGGGAUGUCUGGAUUCAAAAUGUCCGGUGGGGAAGGACCACACCAUGAGAUAAAUUUCUUCCAGUAUCUUAAAUAUAUAGCAGAAGUAGAACCUUUUUUUUACUUUUUAACAAUGUAUUAAAUACUAUAAAGAAAGUCUUUUCUUUAGUAGGAUCUGCCUUUCAAGAGCCAUGCUGUUAACUGUAGGGUUUCUAGGUCUUGGUAACAGAGGUCCCUGCGUCAGAAGAUUCUUAACCUGAGGAAGCCAAAUCGGAUCUGUUACAGAGAGGAGAUUUAGGAGACUGAACCAACCUCUCUUGGGCCACCAAGGGGCUAUGAAGAAGACACCAACUUUCUCCAAUUGAAUCUUUUGGAGUGCUUUCAGGAUGAGAGGCAGAAGAGGAAAUGCAUAAACAAGAGAGAAGUCCCAAGCUUGUUGAAGAGCAUCUACUGCAAGAGGUUUCUCCCUCAGAUUGAGGGAGAAAACGUUCUGGACUUUGCAAUUUUCUUGUUGGCAAAGAGAUCUAUUUCCGGGUUCCCCCAAACUCUCACCAGUGACAGAAAGACUUGUGAAUUUAGUUCCCAUUGCCCUGGAUCCACUUGGUUUCAGCUUAGGAAGUCUGCUUCCUGAUUUUCUACACCCUUCAGGUGUACAGCUGUAAGGGAAAGAACAUUUUUCUCUGCUCCGAUGAAAACCUUUGAGGAGAGAUCUCUUGGAGUGGAAUGUUUUGUUCCCCCUUGGUGGUUGAGAAAGGCCACUGUGGUUACAUUGUCCGAAUAAACCUUCACGUGAUGGUUCUGAAUCUCUUAAUGCCAUUAAAACUGCCUUCAAUUCCUGAAAGUUGGAGGAGUGACAUCAGGUUUUCAGGGACCGUGAGCCCUGAAGAUGAAGGCUCUCGACGUGAAAGACUUGCAUCUGUCAUCACUGUAACCGCAGGAGAAAGGCUCCAAUGAAUUCCCAUAGAGAGAGUCUUUUUCUUCAGCCACCAAGCUAAUGAGGCUUUUACCUGAUGUGGAAUUUGUAAUCUCUUCUCUAAAGACAGUUGGGAUCUGUCCCAUACUUUCAAAAUUAGGGAUUAAAGGGGUCUCGAAUGGCUUUGAGCCCACGGUACUGCCGGUAUACAGGAUGUCAUUGACCCUAAGACUGAGAUGGCUGUUCUUUUAGGACAAGAAUUUCUCCAUAUCAGAUUUUUUAUUUUCAGCUGAAGGGAGAGAAUCUUGUCUUCUGGGAGAAAGGUCUUUUGUUUCUCCAAAUUUAGGAUCAUGCCCAGAAAUGUCUUCUUCCUUGCUGGAAUUAAGUGUGACUAUGAUCCAGCCGAGGUUCUGAAGACAAGACAGAGUUAGAAGGAGGUGCUGAUGAAGAGUCUCCUUUGACUGGGCAAUAAUUAGUAAAUCCUUUUUGUCUCAGAUGAGCAACCACCUCUACCAUUACUUUCGUAAAUAUCCUCGGGGCGGAGGAUAUUCCGAAAGGAAGGGCCUGAAAUUGAAAAUGGAGGGUAGAGUGGUUGUGUUGAAUUGCAAACCUGAGGUAUUUUUGAUGAGAGGGAUAAAUUGGUAGGUGGAAUUAGGCAUCUUUUAGAUCGAUGGUGCACAUCCAGGGUCUCUUUGAUUCAGAGGUAUGGCUGUCUUCAGGGUCUCCAUCUUGAACCUUUUCUAUGAAAUAAACUUUUUUAGAUUUAUAAUAGUUCUGAACGUGCCAUUUGGCUUGGGCAUCAAAAUAGAUGGGAGUAGUGACCCAGACCUUGUUCCAAGAUGGGGACCGGAAUGACAGCUCCUAGAGACAAAAGAUCCUUUAUGCCUGAAAAGAUAGGUUUGUUUAAAAUGUCUGAUCCGUAAUUUGUAGAACAAAAUCUUGGAAGAGGAAGGCUGAUAAACUAUUAUGCAUCCCUGAGAUAUGGAAUUUAGAAUGAAGGGAUUUUUUGUGAUCUGGGACCACUGGUGACUGAACCGAGACAUUCUUCUUCCAACAAGAUUGUCAUUGCUUUUUGUUAUCAGAAUUGGGAUUGAGGAUAAAGUCUUUGCUUUUCCCUCCUUUGGGAUAGCUCCAGCGACCUCCUUUACCUUUCCUUUUAGAUCCUUUGUUCCUAUUAAAGGAACGAAAAUUUUUAUUUUGUUUAGGUUUUUUCUAUAUAGGGAAAUCUUUUUUUCCUGUCAGCCGCCUGUUCUAGAAUUUUUUCAAGGAGCGGGCCAAAGACAAGAUUACACUGGAAGGGGAUGGCACAAAGCUUAACCUUAGAGGUAGAGUCAGCUUGCCAAUUUUUAACCCAUAGGGCCCUUCUAGCGGAGUUAGAUAAGGCGGUGGCUUUUGCCACACAUCUAAUUGAUUCAGCUGAUGCAUCUACCAAAAAGGCUGUGGCUAGUUUUAACACUGGAAUUGAAGAUAUUUUAUUCAGCAAAUGGCUCUCUAACUCCUCUAGCCAUAUAAAGAGACCUGGCUACAGUAGUAGCCGCAAUAUUGGGGUUGAUUAAAGCCGAAGAGGCUUCCAAUGAUCUUUUUAGAAGACCAUCCAUUAUGCGGUCUAGAGUGUCCUUAAACUGAGCCGCAUCCUCAACUUUAGAAAGCUGCACAUCCAUUUUUGAGGUUCACUCCACAGGUUUACCUCAUUAUGGUCAAAGGGGAAACGAUUGCAAAAUUCUUUAGGAAUCUGCAAGCACCUCUCCGGAACCUGCCACUCAUCUGUGAUAAGAGUUUUUAUGCUAUUAUGAACUGAAAAAAACGUGUUUUUUUGAGGUUUCAGACCAGCAAACAUCCUAUCCUGGACAGACGUAGGUUCUGGAGUAUAUUAUAUUCAUUGCAUUUCUUACAGCGGUAAGUAAGAUAUCUGUAUCUUCAGAAGAAAAAUAAUUUUUUAUCAUCCCUCUUACGAGGUGUCUCUUGAAUUUCACCCUCUUCUUCAGAGAAAGUAACACCAGAAUUAAAAUCUUAAUUAGAAUUCGAGUCCAAAACAAUAGCAGUUUCUUGCUUUUUUGGUGGAGGAGGUUCAGCCACAGGCAUUUCAAGAGUAGCGGGAGCUGAGGUACUAGGCAGUGCAGUAGCUAUGGCAGAUUGUACUUGAAGAUUAAGUGAACGAAGCUCAUCCACAAAAGGACGGAGAUUCUUGGAAAACAAUUCUUUCAGUGUAAGCUUUACAAAGGGGUUUAGGAUGGGUGUCCGGUAGUACCACAGCACAGAUUCCAAAUUUUUGGGGCUUAGAUUUAGAUUCCUUAACAGUUUCUCUUUCUUUUGAUUUCUUUGGGGCCUCCUUGUCUCCCUAAGUGGGAAAGGGAAUACCCAUAAGAAUCAAAACUAUAUACUACUUAAAGUAGAAUAUAGGGGUAAAAAAAAGCAGCAUAGAGCAAGGCAAUAUGGUGCUAACCCCGAAGAAACCACUGCUAUAGAAAACACCAUGUGAUACAUAAGAAAACGCAGCACAGAAAGUAAGU